rnacentral:rRNA from 1 species
UCUCCUACGGGGCGCAGCAGUGAGGAAUAUUGGUCAAUGGGCGGAAGUCUGAACCAGCCAAGUCGCGUGAGGGAAUAAGGCCCUACGGGUCGUAAACCUCUUUUGCCGGGGAGCAAGGGCCGGGACGCGUCCCGGCCCGGAGAGUACCCGGAGAAAAAGCAUCGGCUAACUCCGUGCCAGCAGCCGCGGUAAUACGGAGGAUGCGAGCGUUAUCCGGAUUUAUUGGGUUUAAAGGGUGCGUAGGCGGGCUUUUAAGUCAGCGGUAAAAUUUCGGGGCUCAACCUCGUCCGG